UCGAGCGCACUGGCCCAACUGAUAUGACGUGCUUGCACUGAAUUGACGUUGGAUUACCAGUGAGCGGCGGACGGGUGAGUAACACGUGGGCAACCUGCCCUGAAGCGGGGGAUAACAUCUGGAAACAGGUGCUAAUACCGCAUAACAACGAAAACCACAUGGUUUUCGUUUCAAAGAUGGUUUCGGCUAUCACUUCAGGAUGGGCCCGCGGUGCAUUAGCUAGUUGGUAAGGUAACGGCUUACCAAGGCGAUGAUGCAUAGCCGAGUUGAGAGACUGAUCGGCCACAAUGGAACUGAGACACGGUCCAUACUCCUACGGGAGGCAGCAGUAGGGAAUCUUCCACAAUGGGCGCAAGCCUGAUGGAGCAACACCGCGUGAGUGAAGAAGGGUUUCGGCUCGUAAAGCUCUGUUGUUGGAGAAGAACGUGCGUGAGAGUAACUGUUGUCGGCGUGACGGUAUCCAACCAGAAAGUCACGGCUAACUACGUGCCAGCAGCCGCGGUAAUACGUAGGUGGCAAGCGUUAUCCGGAUUUAUUGGGCGUAAAGCGAGCGCAGGCGGUUGCUUAGGUCUGAUGUGAAAGCCUUCGGCUUAACCGAAGAAGUGCAUCGGAAACCGGGCGACUUGAGUGCAGAAGAGGACAGUGGAACUCCAUGUGUAGCGGUGGAAUGCGUAGAUAUAUGGAAGAACACCAGCGGCGAAGGCGGCUGUCUGGUCUGCAACUGACGCUGAGGCUCGAAAGCAUGGGUAGCGAACAGGAUU
rnacentral:rRNA from 1 species